UACGUAGGGUCCGAGCGUUAAUCGGAAUUACUGGGCGUAAAGCGUGCGCAGGCGGUUUUGUAAGCCAGAUGUGAAAUCCCUGGGCUCAACCCAGGAACUGCAUUUGAAACUCCCUGCCUUGAGUGCUGGAGAGGAAAGCGGAAUUCCUGGUGUAGAGGUGAAAUUCGUAGAUAUCAGGAGGAACACCGGUGGCGAAGGCGGCUUUCUGGACAGUAACUGACGCUGAGACGCGAAAGCGUGGGGAGCAAACAGG
rnacentral:rRNA from 1 species